GUGCCAGCAGCCGCGGUAAUACGGAGGAUCCAAGCGUUAUCCGGAAUCAUUGGGUUUAAAGGGUCCGUAGGUGGAUAAUUAAGUCAGAGGUGAAAUCUUGCAGCUCAACUGUAAAAUUGCCUUUGAUACUGGUUAUCUUGAGUUAUUAUGAAGUAGUUAGAAUAUGUAGUGUAGCGGUGAAAUGCAUAGAUAUUACAUAGAAUACCAAUUGCGAAGGCAGAUUACUAAUAAUCAACUGACACUGAUGGACGAAAGCGUGGGUAGCGAACAGGAUUAGAUACCCUGGUAGUCCACGCCGUAAACGAUGGUUACUAGCUGUUUGGACCUUGUGUCUGAGUGGCUAAGCGAAAGUGAUAAGUAACCCACCUGGGGAGUACGUUCGCAAGAAUGAAACUCAAAGGAAUUGACGGGGGCCCGCACAAGCGGUGGAGCAUGUGGUUUAAUUCGAUGAUACGCGAGGAACCUUACCAGGGCUUAAAUGUAAGUUGCAUUAGUUAGAGAUAGCUAUUUCUUCUGACCACUUACAAGGUGCUGCAUGGUUGUCGUCAGCUCGUGCCGUGAGGUGUCAGGUUAAGUCCUAUAACGAGCGCAACCCCUGUUUGUUAUUUGCCAGCGAGUCAUGUCGGGAACUCUAACAAGACUGCCGGUGCAAACCGUGAGGAAGGUGGGGAUGACGUCAAUCAUCACGGCCCUUACGUCCUGGGCUACACACGUGCUACAAUGGUCGGUA
rnacentral:rRNA from 1 species